UAGAGUUUGAUCCUGGCUCAGAACGAACGCUGGCGGCGUGCUUAACACAUGCAAGUCGAGUGCGCGCCUGUAGCAAUACAGGUGGCGCACGGCGCACGGGUGCGUAACACGUGGGUAACCUGCCCUUUAGUGGGGAAUAACCCCGGGAAACCGGGGCUAAUACCGCAUAAGAUCCGCAAGGAUGAAAGCCGUAAGGCGCUGAUGGAGGGGCCCGCGCACGAUUAGCUAGUUGGUAGGGUAACGGCCUACCAAGGCUAUGAUCGUUAGCUGGUCUGAGAGGACGGCCAGCCACACUGGAACUGAGACACGGUCCAGACUCCUACGGGAGGCAGCAGUGGGGAAUCUUGCACAAUGGGCGAAAGCCUGAUGCAGCGACGCCGCGUGGGGGAUGAAGCUUCUCGGAGUGUAAACCCCUUUCGACCCGGACGAA
rnacentral:rRNA from 1 species